AUUUCUGGGCUGGCUUACUUUAGGGCAAUGGAUUUUCAAAAUGGAACCAAUAGAAUUUGUUUUAUGAAAAUUCUUCCUUGGAUUACAGGACUUCGUCUUCCACCAACGUCAUCAGGAGAGAGAAAAAGAGCAGCUGCCAAGAAGCUACAAGCGUGUGGUUCUAUACAGGCCUUGGAGGAUGGCCCAGGACAGCACAGAAAUGUAAGCUACUAGCCUCACAGCAGGUACAUGGAAGAUUCCAGGCGGGAAGUGAGGCAUGACCUUCUUCCAUGCAACGUUCAUGAGCGACUCCCAGUCAAGAGUGCAUUUCCCCUGCUAGAAGCCAGGGCACUCUGUGUUCAAGUUAUACUGAGCUACUUUACUGAGCUGUAAACUAAUUCAGAAAUUGCCAGCUAGAUGCUAGUCAAUACGGCUAGUAAAAGCUGUGUUACGGUCCUCAAAUACAAACUUUUUUGCUAAGCUUUUAUUAAGGUUAAUAGUUUCUCCUUGCACCACUAGGUAAUUAGAAAUGCAAACAAUUGUGCAAGGAAAUGUUGCCAUUUAAACCAUUGGCAUGAAGUAGGAACCCCAUCAAAGAAAAGGAAAGAAGUAUCUAGGCUUGGUGUGAUUAUUUUCCUCAUUUUCUGAUUCUGUUAAUGCAAAUCAGUCAUAAACAAACUUAAAAGCCUAAUUCUUACCUCAUUCACUUGUCAGGGCAAGGAGGAACCAUCAGUUACGCUGGUUGUCCUGCAGACGUGCUCCUCCGCCUUCUCCCUCCACAUCACCACUAUUGCCAUGCAAUGUAUGGCUGCUGCCAUGUUAGUGCACUGGUAUUGAGCUAACUUUGGUGCCCACUUUUUAAGGGUGGAGGGCAGCACAGUGGCACUUCCUAUUGUGGCUAGAGAAUCAAACAAGAGAAUGAAUGGGAGGAAGUGGAGGAUGACAAGAGGGAAGUGUGUUUUUUCUUCUUUAAUGCUGGUAUUGCACACACACACACCCCAUGGUAGAUAGCUGUACUAAAGACAAUUCUGGUUGCAUGUCCCUCCACCCUGAAGCAAUAACAGCAAACAAGAGUGUAUGGAAACUUCUUUUCCACUUUAGAUAAAUUGUUAAGCUGCCGCUGCUCUCUCAAGGCCGCCUUGGGAAGAAAGAUAGAAUAACGUUGUAUAAUAUUAUAACAUCAAGACAGCAGAUAUGGUGGAGCAGGAAUCCUGCACGUUUAACAACUAGGUUACACGAAAGGGAGAUCCAUAAGAGGAAAGCUGCCUGAAAGCAGUCGGGGGCAGCAGGAAAAGGCUUGGAUCCAGGUUGGAUCCAGGUUGAGCUUUUUUAAAAAAAACUAUUCCUCUGCACUCUGCUUCCUCAAAACUGUGUUCUUGCUGCCCAGAGUGAGAGUCUGGGUUGUGAUGUUUUGGUGUGUUGCAAUGUUGCUUAAUAUCACUCCAUGUGAAAGACUGAACUGGUAUAGAACAAAGCCUUACCUAGGUGGUGGGCACAGAGGGAGAGGUUAUGUUGCUGUUUGCAGUGGAGGCUGGUGGCUCCAAUAUCAGUGGGGCAGUGAAUCCACUCCGGGUUCUAGUCUGAACUUUCAGCACCUUGGACAUCUCCUUGAAAGUUCCAACUAAAUCCCGGAGCGCAUUCACUGCCCCACUGACAUUGGAGCCACCAGCACGCACUGGCUGUUUGUAUGAUACUAUAUUGCCCUAGAUGGAGGUGGAUGAAUGAGGUGGCUGUACAUUAUGCUUAGUGUUACCAGGGAUUUGUUCUUGUUUUUAUUUUGCAGUCUAGAUACUCAUUUUGCAUCAUAUGUUUGGUAGGUAUUAUUGGUAUGGUGAUGGGAAUGCUUGAGAGUGAAGCCUAUAUGCAGAAGACAGCUAAAAUUAUAUUUGGGGGAUGUUACUGCAGGGAGUGGGGAGCAGCUUCUCUUUUGCUUAUUUUGUUUAGUUGCUAAUGAUAUGUGGAAUUUUAUUGCAUUUUUAUAUUUGGUUUUUAUUUGUCAUGGUUUGUAUGUUUAAGAGAAUAUUUUGUUUUCCUGUUAAUUGUGCUGCUUUAAAUGUGUAUUUUGUUCUUGGUCUUUAUCUGUAGUGUUGUAUUUUGAUA